AUGUUCUUGUUGUCCAUUCGGCUGCUCCUGUUUUGUUCGGGGUCGCCACAGCAGACACAGCCAGAUCCGCAAUGCACAGGCAUAAUG